CCUCCCUCCAGUGAAAACUGCGGGGGAAGAAGAACCGAAACUUAAACUCCAGCGACGGAUAUUUUUUCACUGGGAGAGCGUGCCCGGUCAAGGUAAGAACUUCAUUUUGGCUGUAUGUGGAAGGUAUAUUAAAAACAUAUAAAAGAUGAGUUAGUAAAGGGGUCGUUACUGUAGGAGAAAUUAGUCUCUAUCUAAAAAAACUGAACUGCGUCAGACUGCAGCAAAAUGGAGUCGGAUAACAUCAGCUCGCGUCUAAACCUGUAUAAUCUGAAAUAUCUGAUUUCUGUAAACUGAGCGCCGUGUGAUUGUGAUAUGUGUGUGUUUUACACUGUGAUGAUAUUUUGCCCUGAUUAAUUAUUUUAUUGGCCCAGAAUGAAGCCAAAAGCACAACAUGAAAUAAUUCUAGCCAUGUUUACCAGGGUAAUAAGCUCCUACCUUUGUGCUUCCAUGAAAUCAUUAUUUAGACAUGUUUCUCACAUUUCAGCAUGUUUGUUCAUAUGGAUUUUAUUACAGAGCGAUGCCUUUAGAUACAUCUCCAGCUCCAACAUGUGCAUCUGAUGCAUCUGACCAUUCAAUGGAUCAACCCAUUGUGUUCAAACAGAGAGCUGUGGGGAGAGUGCUCCGUCUCUCAGACUCCAAACUCAACCUCACUAUGAACCCACAAUCUGUCUCUCUCAAAGGAACCAGACUUAUCUUCAGACACGUCGCAUACCUAAGAACUCUCAGGCUGAGUGCUGGUAUGGUGCUGAAAGUGGAGAGAGCUCUGAGAGCAGUAAGAUUUUCUGCUCCAGUGACAAUUAAGGAGCUUUCACUCAUUCAGAGCAAAACAAAGUGGACAAAAGAGAAACUGUCCAAGAUUCUGAGCAGCUUAGCUUCUCUCCUGAGACUUUGUGAUGUCCAGUGUCUGAACCUGACUGAGCACAGGAUGGAGCCUCAGUCCCUCACUGUCCUGCUGUGUCACCAGGGCCCUCUCACCAUCUGGUUGUCUAAAGAGACUCUCCAGCAGCUGGUGGUCAUGGUGUAUAAUACUGAGGAGGAGGAGUUUACUCACAGUUUCCUGCAGAAAGUGGGUGGAGAUCUGGAGUCCUGCUCUCUGAACUGGGAAAUGAUUCAGUAUUUCCUGCAGUAUCACAGUCUCACUGUGGACUUUAGGAGGAGCAGCAUUAAGCAGCAGAACAUCAGAGAACUUGUAACUGUGCUGGACAGAGUUCAGAUCAGAAGGUUGAGCUCCAGCUUUCUGCUGUCCAUCAUCAGAGAGAUCUAUGAGACCGGUUCUGCUCACUGUGUGUUCAGCCUGUUAAAUUCAACACAGAACUGCAUCAACCUGAACAGCAGAGAGCUGGACUCUGUCCACUGUGCUGCCCUGUGCUUCAUCCUCCAGCACAGCAGCACUGCAGUCUCCCUCAGCCUGCUGUGGACCUCCAUACCAGAGGGGGAGCUAGAGAACAUUGUGCCCCUACUAAACCACGUCUCAAACCUCAGUGUGGACAGGCUGUUGUUGCUGAGGCUGCUUCACUGCUGCAGUGUGCCUGAGCUCCAGCAGGGAGCAGCAGCAGCUCUACUCUCAGCUCUUCAGCACAGACUGGACUUCUCCUGCAGCUCCACUCUGGACCUUACAGAACACACCCAGACACACACUCUGAGCUCUGAGGACUGCAGUCAUCUCCACUGUCAUCCAGAGAGCAUCCACACACACUCAGCUCAUCCUGCAGGACUGUGAAAUAGAGGAGGCUGGAGUGGAGCAGCUCUUCAGUGUUUUACACACAGUCAGACUGCACUGCAGUAAAGCUCUGCUGCUUCAGUUCAUCACUCUUGUCCAUGUGGAGAGUGAGCUGGAGUGUGUGAUGCGUGCUGCAUCCCUCUCUCAAGCUCUGAGUGAAGAACUGGACCUCAGUCAGACCCAGCUGGACCUGCAGGCCUGUAGGACGCUGGCGCUGUUUCUGGAAUAUUCAGAAGGACUGUCAGAACUGGACCUCAGCCACUGUCAGAUCACUGACCACUGCCUGGAGCUGCUGCUUCCACACCUGCACAAAACCUGCAUACUGGACCUCAGCCACAAUGAAAUCACUAACAUCUCAGCAAAGAGAAUCUACGAUAUUGUCUCUGUUAACAGCAGCAUUCAGACUGUGAGACUCUUCAACAACAGAAUCACAGACAGACAGCUCUUCCUCUCAGACCAGCGCUUUGAGAUCUGGUGAUGCUAAAAUAUUGUCAUCACACGUCAUCAUGACUAGAUAUAGAACCAUGACGUUAUUUUAUGUUACAAAACACUGUAUAGCGACGGUAUGUGUAAGAAAAAAAUGUAUUGCUUACAAAAUAUAUAUUUUUUU
ensembl:lncRNA